GCCCUGUGAAGGUGAGCAAAUCCCAAAAAUAAACGUCCCAGUUCGGAUUGUAGUCUGCAACCCGACUACAUGAAGCUGGAAUCGCUAGUAAUCGCGGAUCAGAAUGCCGCGGUGAAUACGUUCCCGGGUCUUGUACACACCGCCCGUCACACCAUGAGAGUUGGGAAUACCCGAAGCCUGUGAGCUAACGUUAAGAGGCAGCAGUCGAAGGUAGAAUCAAUGAUUGGGGUGAAGUCGUAACAAGGUAGC
rnacentral:rRNA from 1 species